ensembl:lncRNA STARD13-AS STARD13 antisense RNA
GGAGACUCUAAGACUUCUGAAGAGUUUCUUGCUUCUUUCCUGUGGGGCAGUGACUCCACUUCCCAGCAGUAAUGGAAUAUCCUGAAUUAGCUACAUUAAUGUUAGAACCAUUUGGACCUCACCCAGGACUUCAACUACAUUAUGCUAAAGUUACAGAACCCAAAUUUGGCAACUGUCUGCAUCUGAACAACAGAAGUUUCAACAUUCUGCCAACAGAGUAACUCCUGGACGAUUGGCACAGAAGAAGGCACAAGGCAAAUACCCAUCUCUGUACACCCUGUGCUACUGUGUCAUGUGCUGCUCCAGGCAACUCCAAUGGAUUGGCCACCCUGGCCAAUGUAAUCCUAGAAUGUAGAGAUGAUGGGGACUUCAGAGAUUCUUUAAUCCAAACCCUUUAUUUAAUGGAAGAAGGGAAAAAGGUCUAGAGAAGCUGUGACUUCUCUCAGAUCACACAAUAAAUUAGUUGCUGAGGUUCUAGUAUGUUACGUUUAUGUUCCCCUGCUUUCUACAAUCCUGUUCAAAGAGUUGCUGACUUAACCACAGAGAGGAUUCCAGAACCUGAGACACAGAAUAAACUUGAGCAAUCAUAGUCCAUCCACUUCAUUGUCUCAUCAAAAACCAAAGGUCCAGUGAAGCUCUGGAACUCAACGCUGUAAAGGAGCGAAGGAGCUUCUAUACAGAGCCUGGAUGCCUGUCUCCUUAUCCUACUUCAGUGGACUUGACUGCAAUCCGGAUUAUGCUGUUUUCUAAGCAUUUAAAAUAAAA